AUGAUCAUAACUUUAUAGGAUCACUUCUAUAGUCGAAUUGCGGGUUUCUCGCCGAGAUAUCUCGGAUAGAUUCAAACACGAUGAGGACUGUUAGUUGUAAUCUCUCGAAGAGGGGAGCGGCACUCAAGUGGUUUUGCUUGAGAGAUUUGAUGACCCGUUCUGACUCGGUUUACCGAGUUCAGGAGGAGGAUGACACAGGCUGAGUGGU